GUGCGCGUGGCAGGCGGAACCUCCACCCGGACACCCAGGCCCCGACCCCGUGCUAAGGGGCGCGGGCGGGGCAGGUCCGCAGGAGGACCGGCCGGAGGGCAACUCCGGAGGGAAAGCGCGAAGACCCGACCCUGCGGACUGCAAUCCCAGGGACGAGCAGACCAAGAGGAUGGAUCAUCAUACGUGGCCAGACAGUUCGCGUCCACACAGCGCAAGCUGACGGGGAAUACCAGCCAUCCAGUUCAGGAUGAUUGGAAAGCGGAAAACGUGUGCAACGCGGAGGACAAACGGAGCUCCUCCUUCGUUUUCCCCACUCAGAGCGCGGAAGGAGGAACGUCACAGGGCGAAGUAGGCUUUAAAGAAUAAUUUCACAAACCGUCAAUAAACAUUUGAAACAGGUGCGCAACUCAAGAGACGGUAAAUGAAAAGUUAACCCAAGGAAGAUAACUCGCCUUUUACGGAUCAAUUGUCUAAAAUUACAAAGAUUGAUAAAAUAUCCAUGUUGGCAGUGACGUGUUUCCGACAUACAACUCUUUAAUACACAACUGAAGGCAGGCUGAUACGGACACAGCCUUUCUGGACAGAAAUGCUGCCGGGACAGCAGCCAGCCAUGAGCCCUGAGCAUUGCUGCACUUCCUUACUGGCCAGAAUGGACUGCAAGACGUCUCCAUCUCCUGAUGCUAAGUGCUUUCUGCAGCUGCGCACACAGGCAGCUAGUAGGCCAAGGCUCCCGCGGAGUGAGUACCCCGUCGCUGCUCAUCUCUGGGCUGGAAGGGGACUGGCUUGUGUGCUGCUUACCACAGUGUUGGCCCCGUGCUGAAAAAGUGCUGGUCCCUCGGCCCUUUGCAGAUGCUGGGGUCAUCUGGCCGGCCCUGUAACCCUGCUGGAAAUGGGGCUCCAAGAACUGGUGCUACCAUGCUGACACUCUGGCUACUGCUUUUGCUGUGGGUAGUAAGGUCUUGUAGCUCUCAUCCGUGAGUCUUGUGUCUCGGGCAGCUUCCACAAAAGUGCGGCAAGCUGACUUGUUAGUUUGCAAUACGGCGACAAUCUCAGACCCCUCCCAGUUCUAGACGCGCCAAAAU